rnacentral:rRNA from 1 species
AAUAUUGGUCAAUGGGCGGGAGGCUGAACCAGCCAGGCCGCGUGCGGGAAUAAGGCCCUAUGGGUCGUAAACCGCUUUUACACGGGAACAACCGCAGCUACGAGUAGCCGCCUGAGGGUACCCUGGGAAUAAGGAACGUCUAACUCCGUGCCAGCAGCCGCGGUAAUACGGAGGAUCCGAGCGUUAUCCGGAAUUAUUGGGUUUAAAGGGUGCGUAGGCGGCACUUUAAGUCGGGGGUGAAAUACAGCGGCUCAACCGUUGCAGUGCCCUUGAUACUGAAGUGCUUGAAUGUGGCCGAAGGAGGCGGAACGGGACAAGUAGCGGUGAAAUACAUAGAUAUGUCCCAGAACCCCGAUUGCGAAGGCAGCUUCCUAGACCGUUAUUGACGCUGAUACACGAAAGCGUGGGGAUCGAACA